rnacentral:rRNA from 1 species
CGCGUAGGUGGUAGUGCAAGUCUGGGGUGGAAUCCUAUGGCUUAACCAUAGAAUUGCCUUGGAAACUGUAUUACUUGAGUCAGUGAGGGGAGGGUAGAAUUCCUGGUGUAGCGGUGAAAUGCGUAGAUAUCAGGAGGAAGGCCUGUGGCGAAGGCGGCCCUCUGGCGCUGAACUGACACUGAGGCGCGAAAGCGUGGGGUAGCAAACAGGAUUAGAUACCCUGGUAGUCCACGCCCUAAACGGUGGGUACUAGGUGUAGGGCUCGUAAGGGUUCUGUGCCGAAGCGAAAGCAUUAAGUACCCCGCCUGGGGAGUACGGCCGCAAGGUUGAA